rnacentral:rRNA from 1 species
GUGUAGCAGUGAAAUGCGUAGAUAUCGUGAGGAAGACCAGUGGCGAAGGCGAAUGCCUGGGCAANNNNNGACACUGAGGCACGAAGGCCAGGGGAGCAAACGGGAUUAGAUACCCCGGUAGUCCUGGCAGUAAACGGUGCACGUUUGGUGUGGGAGGAUUCGACCCCUUCCGUGCCGGAGCUAACGCGUUAAACGUGCCGCCUGGGGAGUACGGUCGCAAGAUUAAAACUCAAAGAAAUUGACGGGGACCCGCACAAGCGGUGGAGUAUGUGGCUUAAUUCGAUGCAACGCGAAGAACCUUACCUGGCCUUGACAUGCAUCUCUAAUCCGGUGAAAGCCGGUGAGUGUAGCAAUACACAAUUUGCACAGGUGCUGCAUGGCUGUCGUCAGCUCGUGUCGUGAGAUGUUGGGUUAAGUCCCGCAACGAGCGCGACCCCUGUGAACUGUUGCCAUGGAGACGUGAGUCUCCGGCACUCUGUUCAGACUGCCCUGUUCAACGGGGAGGAAGGUGGGGACGACGUCAAGUCAGUAUGGCCCUUACGGCCAGGGCUGCACACGUACUACAAUGCCCGACACAGAAGGAUCCGAGACCGCAAGGUGGAGGAAAUCACCAAAGUCGGGCCCAGUUCGGAUUGGAGGCUGCAACUCGCCUCCAUGAAGCCGGAAUCGCUAGUAAUGGCGCAUCAGCUACGGCGCCGUGAAUACGUUCCCGGGUCUUGUACACACCGCCCGUCACAUCAUGGGAGUCGUUUGUACCCGAAGUGCGCGCGCCAACCGCAAGGAGGCAGCGCCCUAAGGUAUGAGCGGUAACUGGGAUGAAGUCGUAACAAGGUAACCAAGGGCGAA